CACGCGCCCCCUGCCCCUCAUCGUGUCGUUAGCCACGCGCCCGUAGCCGAUCACCGCGCCGGUCGCCGCCGCGCCUCCCUCUCGGUCGCCGCCCCUCAGCCCGCCGUCGAUCCCUCCCUCUCCCGGCGCCCUCCAUCGCCCCUCCUUGCGUCCCUGUACGUCGCGACAGCCGCGGCCCUGUCUCUCGCCGGACGGCGCGACCGCUAUAUCCAUUGCCGGCCGCCGCCUCUGCCGCGCUGCUGCCCCUCACCCCACCUUCGCCGCCGCUGCGCUGCUCCUCGCCGGACACCGCGCUGCUGCCCCUCAUCCCGCCGUUGCCGCCGCCGCUCCCUCGGCCCGAUGUCGCCGCCGCGCCUCCCCCUUGGUCGUCGCUCCUCAGCCCGGCCAGGUGUUCUUGACAAAUGGCGUGAUGCUGAUGCAGUAUGCUUCGAUGUCGAUAGCACAGUCUGCUUGGAUGAGGGUAUUGAUGAGCUCGCUAAUUUCUGCGGGGCUGGGAAGGCUGCUGCUGAGUGGACUGCAAAGGCAAUGAUAGAAACUGUUCCCUUUGAGGAUGCACUAGCUGCCAGGCUGUCGUUAAUCAAGCCCCAUCUCUCCCAAGUUGCGGAUUGUUUAGUGAAGAGGCCUCCAAGGAUUUCUCAUGGCCGCAACUUGAUUAAAAAGUUGAAAACUAAUAGUACUGAUGUAUUCCUUGUGUCCGGUGGUUUCCGACAAAUGAUCAAGGAACGCUGCCAUUCGGUUAGUUAGGGAGGUAGAAGCGAUCAGAGGGAGUGUCUUUGCAUCUGCUUCUUGCGAACAGAUGAGCUAUACUUAUGAUGCACUGAAGUGUUAUGCACCAUGAAUGGUUGAAGUUCUCAUUGAUAGUGUGCAGAACUCAGCAUUUUUAGAAUGAGAGGUCAAAGAGCAUGUACUUGGAAUACUGUAAUACAUAAGUAAAGUUAUUAUUUAAUGGUCUAAACAAUCAAAAAUGAAGCAUAUCUUUUCGUAAUAUUGUUGGAGACACGAUUUUCUGUUCGUGCAUAGAAAUUUUGUAGCUGAAGUACACAGCUGUUCCUGGCUACCAAGCAAGUCUCAUGAUUUUUUUCACUUUUCAAGCCCAUCACUGUUUGUUUAAUAUCUCUAAGCUCAUAUCUGAUAGACUGACAAGAUUUAAGAUACCAUCAUGCAUAAAUAUUUGAUGGGCACUGUUCUUGGUUAAUUUUCUUAUAUUGGAAGCAUGCUGGAACGUAACUGGACUACAUACUCUUACAUUGGAAUACUUUAAUUUGGUAGGGUAAUGUUCCAAAAAGUGAAGAUAAGGGAAGUCCAAGUGAUCUACAAAUAAUUGAGACUCCAGUUGACAUAAGAAAAUCAUCUAAAGCCUCACAUGGGAUUGAAUCAGAUAAAUCUCUGUAUUCUAGCACCUGGAACAAAAUUAACAAGCACAGAUGAUUUGUUGGGUGCGCUUUGCAAAUAUAUCAUGUCAAUAGACUCCCAAGAAUCUUUACAGAAAGAAUGGAUUCGAAGCAUUGAGCCAUAUCCAAUUUCUUUGAGUCUUAAAAAUCUCCAAGAUAUACUAUACGUAAAAAAGCCAAUGGACAAAGAUUGCUUCAAUAUGGCCGUACGGAUGCUUGCAUGCAAUGAGUUCCUAAUGUUUUUAGAUGAUACAAUCCACUACAUAGACCUUCAAUUCUGGACGAUAUCUGAUUUUCAUCGUGAGCCACGCCGUCAUGCAAAGCUUGAUAUCAGACGGUUGGCAAAACUGUUUGAAUGCUGGCUUGGCAUAGAGUACAAAAUUUCACAGUGUAGCAAUGGAAGUGUCAGGCUUCUUUGUUCUUUGACUUCAUGCGCUCAUGGGAUGGUAAAAAACUAUCAUCGAUAUACUCGAUGGGAUUAAAUUGAGGACCAAGUUUUUCAUCAGCAUAUCGAAGUUCAAUGAAAAUGAAGCUAAAGAGAAUAUUCCUGUAGACACACAAGAAUUCGUUGAUCGCAUCAGGUGUUAGAUAGAUGCGAAAUGUUAGAUAUUUGCUUAUGUAAUUAUGAACCGCAACUUUGUUUAAGUACCGCAAUUCUUGGAGCAGUGGGGUUGUACCUGAUUGUGAUUUUAACAUUUUUUAUUUUAUAUAAGCACCCGUUUUAGUGCUUACCGUUGA